rnacentral:lncRNA from 1 species
UAUAAUAUAACCAUGUCUGAAUGCAGUAUAUCUAAUAGUAAGCCGCCAAAAUUAGCUGAGUACAUUCAAACAGUUUAGCUAAUAAUUCAACUAUUAUCUACUUUUAGCUAAUUAGCUAAUAUAUAGUUAGCUAGCUAUUUAUUGUUAGCUAGCUAAUUCUAUUAGUAAUUUUUUAACCAAUUAACUAUUAGCUCUAAUGUAUUCAAACAUCAAGUCGACUUUCGCAUGUAU